UCUAUGGGGUCAAUGGGGUGUCAGUGGGGACAUCUAUGGGGCACACAGUGGGGCACACAAUGGGGUCAAUGGGGACAUCUAUGGGGUCAAUGGGGACAUCUAUGGGGCACACAAUGGGGACAUCAAUGGGUCACUCAAUGAGGACAAUAAUGGCGACAUCAAUGGGGACGUCAAUGGGGACAGGCAGCAGAUUUUGGGGUGAAAGCAGCAGAUUUUGGGCUGAAAUCAGCAUAAUUGGGGUUGAAAUCAGCAGAUUUUGGGGUGAAACUAUGAGAUUUGGGGGUAAAAUCAGCAGAUUUUGGGGCAGCCAACAGGAUUUGGGGGUGAAAUCAGUAGAUUUUGGGGUAAAAUCAGCAGAUUUUGGGGCAGCCAACAGGUUUGUGGGUUUAAAUCAGCAGAUUUUGGGAUUAAACCAUCAGAUUUUGGGCUGAAAUCAGCAGAUUUGGGUUGAAAUCAGCAGAUUUUGAGGUAAAACCAGCAGAUUUUAGGACACCCAACAGGAUUUUGGGGUGAAAUCAGCAGAUUUGGGGUAAAACCAGCAGAUUUUGGGGCACCUAACAGGAUUUUGGGGUAAAACCAGCAGAUUUUGCAGUGAAAUCAUUAGAAUUUGGGGGUGAAAGCAGUAGAUUUGGGUUGAAAUCAGCAGAUUUUGGGGUGAAACAAUCAGAUUUUGGGGUGAAAUCAGUAGAUUUUGGGGUGAAAUCAGCAGGAUUUUAGGUUUAAAUCAGCAGAUUUUGGGGUGAAAUCAG
rnacentral:lncRNA from 1 species